GUAACACAUCCAUUCUCUAACAACCAUUACAUGAAAGGAGGGGUGAAAUGGAAUUCAAAUCAAAUUCAAAUUCAAAUUCAAAUUGCUAUCUGAGAGACUGAAACCAUAACACUGCAAUCAAGAAGAUCCGCUCAGUCCCAAAUAAAUAAAUAAAAAAUGCUCACGUUCACAUUAAUAGUCGCAGCUACGAGCAGCAUAAGCACUUUUUCUCUGAUUGGAUCAUCGUCGCCGUCUUCUUCGCUAAGCUUUCCCUCCAUUUCCCGCGCAUUUCGCUCUCGCUCUCGCUCUCGUUCUCGUUCUCGUUCUCGUCCUUCUGCUCUCUGCUUCUCAGGUUUGUCAGAGAAUACGGAUUCUGGUGUUGCUCCGUGUUUGUUUCCAUUGCAUCGUUGUAAAACAAUUCACCUGGUCAGGCAUGCACAGGGGAUCCACAAUGUCGAAGGAGACAAGAAUUACGAUGCAUACUUAAAUCCUGCAUAUUUUGAUGCACAACUUACGCCAUUAGGCUGGCAACAGGUUGAUAAUUUGCGAAAGCAUGUUCGUGCUUCUGGGCUUAUAAAGAGGAUUGACCUAGUCAUUGUAUCUCCUUUAUUGAGGACUCUACAAACAGCUGUUGGCGUAUUUGGCGGUGAGGACUACAUAGAUGGAAUAGAUGCACUUCCCCUAAUGAUAGCUCAUGCAGGAAACAGCAGUCAUAAUGCAAUUUCAAGUAUUAAUUGCCCCCCAAUUGUUGCUGUUGAACUUUGUCGUGAACAUUUGAAUAAACAAGGAGGGAACAAGCAUAAGUCAUACAGCCAAAGAAGCCUCUAUUUCAAAAGCUGUAAACCCUUUUCGUCUUUCAUCCUUCAUUCCUACAGACGUUUGUCUCAAUGUGUUUUCUUAUGCAGGGAGUUCAUCCCUGUGACAAAAGAAGAAGCAUUAGUGAGUAUCAACAUCUGUUUCCUGCAAUUGAUUUUUCACUGAUAGAUAGCAAUGAGGAUAUUUGGUGGAAGGCUAAUGCUAGAGAGACAAAGGAAGAACUAACUGAUAGAGGGCUUAAGUUCCUGGACUGGUUGUGGACACGAAAAGAAAAAGAGAUAGCAAUCGUGACGCAUAGAGCAUUUUUGUUUCAUACUCUAAAUGCAUUUGGAAAUGAUUGCCAUCCCUCGGUUAAGAUAGAAAUAUCCAAGCCCUUUGCUAACUGCGAAUUUCGCUCCAUGGUCAUUUUUGAUAGGAACGGAUGCAUCAACCGUUAAUUGUCCAGGAAACAUACCUUCUGGGAUGGACCUACUUAGUGAUUUUUGUGGAUGAGAACGGUGACUCUUGAGAAAUCCAAUGUGCUUUGUUCAAGGGUUUCACAAAAACACUGGUUAAAGAUUUUUGAAGGGAAAAUUUGUAAAGUUUUCAAUAUAUUUAAUACUAUAUAUAUAACUUCUCCUUUAGAAACUUUCCAGUACUGAUUAAAAUAUAUCUUUUUACAAAUUUCACAUUGUAUGCUGUUUGAGUGUUUGAUUUGAAGCUUCUACAAUUACUGGAUUGUCCGAAGAAAUAUUGUGUAACUAGAAUACCUGUCAAGCAAAGGUGUGGCAAAUCAGAUAUUCGGAGUGCGGUAAGCCGGUAACAUUAUUGGACCUUUCUUACAAUCGAUAGUGACACAUCUAUUUAUAAUUUUAUUAGAAGAGAAUCAAAAGGUAGUUUGAAAAUUUUUAAAUGAGUGAAAUCUUACUCCAGUACUUAACAAUUUUCAUAAGUGAUGAUC